AUAAAUAGCAAAACCAUGUCUUUACAUUGUAAUAAGUUUCUCUAAACCUAGUACAAUCUAAAGCCACUCUAACAUUUGCUUCAAGCCUAUAGCCCUAGCGUGACACUCAUGCUUGGGUUGAGGUAGCGGUUUAGUUAGCGGAUCAGCCACGUUCUCAUCCGUAUGAACUUUGCAGAUUCUGACAUCCUUCCUGUCAACUAUCUCUCGAAUGAGGUGAUACUUCCUCAUCACAUGCUUGGACUUGUUAUGUGACCUUGGCUCUUUUGCUUGCGCAAUAGCACCAUUGUUGUCACAAAACAACUCAAUUCCUUCCAGAACACUAGAUUAUCGAUUUAGCCCAUCGAAGCUGUUUAGAUGAUUAAUUUUCGCGCAGCUGCAAAUUGUUAAGCGGUCGUUAUGCUUUUUAGUUGUUUCCGGUGCAAGUUGUCGUGCCAUUGCAUGCCACUACUACCGGUUAAGCCAAUUUUUGUACAAGUUAUUACAGCUUUGUUAAACUAAUAUUUGUUAUUAAACUAAUAUUUACUAUAUGCAUGUGUUGCAGGUGCUUGCGGAAUCCAACUAUUCAAACAAUU